GUAUGGGGUCAUACAGCCCUAUGGGGGUAUGGGGUCAGACAGCCCUAUAAUGGGUAUGGGUGGUAUGGGGUCAUACAGCCCUAUAGGGUUAUGGGGUCACGUGGUACUAUAAGGGGUAUGGGGUCACACAGCCCUAUGGGGGGGGAAUGGGGUCACGUGGUACUAUAGGGGUAUGGGGUCAGACAGCCCUAUGGGGGGAAUGGGGUCAGACAGCCCUAUGGGGGGAAUGGGGUCACGUGGUACUAUAACGGGUAUGGGGACAGACAGCCCUAUAGGGGUAUGGGGUCAUGUGGUACUAUAACGGGUAUGGGGUCAUACAGCCCUAUGGGGGCAAUGGGGUCACACAGCCCUAUGAGGGCAAUGGGGUCAGACAGCCCUAUGGGGCAAUAGGGUCAGACAGC
rnacentral:lncRNA from 1 species